AAUCCUACGGGACGCAGCAGUGGGGAAUAUUGGGCAAUGGGCGCAAGCCUGACCCAGCAACGCCGCGUGAAGGAAGAAGGCUUUCGGGUUGUAAACUUCUUUUCUCAGGGACGAAGAAAGUGACGGUACCUGAGGAAUAAGCCACGGCUAACUACGUGCCAGCAGCCGCGGUAAUACGUAGGGAGCGAGCGUUGUCCGGAAUUACUGGGUGUAAAGGGAGCGUAGGCGGGGAUGCAAGUUGGAUGUUUAAACUAUCGGCUCAACCGGUAAUUGCAACCAAAACUGCAACUCUUGAGUGAAGUAGA
rnacentral:rRNA from 1 species